rnacentral:rRNA from 1 species
UACGAAGGGGGCUAGCGUUGUUCGGAAUCACUGGGCGUAAAGCGCACGUAGGCGGAUGUGUCAGUCAGGGGUGAAAUCCCGGAGCUCAACUUCGGAACUGCCUCUGAUACAGCACGUCUUGAGUCCGGAAGAGGUGGGUGGAAUUCCUAGUGUAGAGGUGAAAUUCGUAGAUAUUAGGAAGAACACCGGUGGCGAAGGCGGCCCACUGGUCCGGUACUGACGCUGAGGUGCGAAAGCGUGGGGAGCAACAGG